rnacentral:rRNA from 1 species
GAUGAACGCUAGCGGCAGGCUUAACACAUGCAAGUCGAGGGGUAUGCUGAUUUAUCGGCAGAGACCGGCGCACGGGUGCGUAACGCGUAUGCAAUCUACCUUUCACAGAGGGAUAGCCCAGAGAAAUUUGGAUUAAUACCUCAUAGUAUAGCAGUUUCGCAUGAAACCACUAUUAAAGGUUCCAACGGUGAAAGAUGAGCAUGCGUCCCAUUAGCUAGAUGGUAAGGUAACGGCUUACCCAUGGCUACGAUGGGUAGGGGUCCUGAGAGGGAGAUCCCCCANACUGGUACUGAGACACGGACCA